rnacentral:tRNA from 1 species
GCUGGGGUACCCAAGUCUGGUCAAAGGGGCAGGUUUAUUUUACAUCGUCAGUAAAAUAGUGUCAUACUUAAGAUCCUGUGACUUAGUGUCUCCGUGAGUUCAAAUCUCACCCCCAGCA